GAUGAACGCUGGCGGCGUGCCUAACACAUGCAAGUCGAGCGAACAGACGAGGAGCUUGCUCUUCUGACGUUAGCGGCGGACGGGUGAGUAACACGUGGAUAACCUACCUAUAAGACUGGGAUAACUUCGGGAAACCGGAGCCAAUACCGGAUAAUAUAUUGAACCGCAUGGUUCAAUAGUGAAAGACGGUUUUGCUGUCACUUAUAGAUGGAUCCGCGCCGCAUUAGCUAGUUGGUAAGGUAACGGCUUACCAAGGCAACGAUGCGUAGCCGACCUGAGAGGGUGAUCGGCCACACUGGAACUGAGACACGGUCCAGACUCCUACGGGAGGCAGCAGUAGGGAAUCUUCCGCAAUGGGCGAAAGCUUGACGGAGCAACGCCGCGUGAGUGAUGAAGGUCUUCGGAUUGUAAAACUCUGUUAUUAGGGAAGAACAGAAGUGUAAGUAACUAUGCACGUCUUGACGGUACCUAAACAGAAAGCCACGGCUAACUACGUG
rnacentral:rRNA from 1 species